UCUCCUUCCCCCCCCGAGGGC
rnacentral:misc_RNA from 1 species